ACUUGGAUUUAUGACUGGCCUGUCCCUCUGGGCUUUUCAGAGUACCCCAGACCAGAGUAGACUGUCCUCGAAUCAUUGCCUGGCCUCUGUGCCCAUAGACUGCUGGCACUGAAGUGGGUUACACAGUG
rnacentral:snoRNA from 1 species